CCGUGGAGAAGCAAUGAAGGAAACUAUCUUGAGCAGCAUAGUAGCUAAAUUUAAAUUGAGUAUGUUUCUUUUUGUUGUUGUUUUUUGCUUUUUAUUAGCAGAACUUAUUUUAUUGUUGGAACUUUUUGAUAACAUCCCCUGUAAAUAUACACCACUCUGUUGGUAAGGGUGUGGCUGAAGCAGACCCCAGUCAUUCACUAACAGUGUCAAUGUGGGGUCUGAUGUUGUAGAUAAUAACGAUCUAUAACUUUUGGUACAUUUAAGGCUUUCAUGGUGGUCUGUUAAAUUACAUGUGCUUUGACAUGUUUUGGUCAAAGCACAAAGCACACCAACAACAAAAACUACCUCAUAACUAAAUCUGAUACAUUUCUUUGUUAGCAGUAUUUUGGAAUUAAUUGCAUGAUGCUACUUGGGAAAAUUCUUAGAAGGGGGGAAAAACUUAAACCAGUUCUUUAGCCAGCUUAAAUCUUUAAUAUAAAAAAUCUCUGUUUGCACACAAGCUCCUACACAAUCUGGAGUUGGCACACAGGUUCUUCAUGGGGCCCUGACGGUUCUUGUUUAUAUAAAAUAUUAUGAGGUCGUCGUGUUGCCUAGCAGCCAUCUGACAAUGUAGCACAAUGACACAUUUGUAGCUUUUACGCAGCUAGAAGAGACUUAUAAAAGUAUUGUAUCAUUUUCAUUUCACAACAGUAACACAUAAUUUAUAUCCCAAAAACUAAGCAUGACACAUGAUGAUGUCACACUGUCUAGCAACCACCUAACAACAAACUAAAACCACAAACUAAACAAUACUGUAACCUGGGAAUUUCCCAGGAUAUUAAAUCUGCACUUACAUUCUGAGCCACAGAUAAAAGCUUUAAUUACCAGGAUGAUGCAAAUCACUGCAGUGUUUUUACAUACAAUUAAGCCGCGUAUCAACUUUUUCUGGAAAUGGGGUUGUGAAAAAAAACGCAAUGCAAUUCAAUUAAAUACUCAGCUGUUUGUUACAUUUAUUUCCUACUUAGAGAAACCAGUGAGAUGAACAUCUUAAUUUGAUGACUUUCUAUAUACAACUUUAACAUGUACAUAUAACUACAUCUUGCAAUGUCCAAAUGUGAUUUUCAUAUCAUACAAAUUGAUAUAUCCAUCAAUAACAAUGUAUACGUAACUAGAUUAACACUUUUUACUGUAGUGGUAUAGAAAAUCCUAUACAAACCAUAAAGGAUUUGAUGGGAUAAAUAAAUGUGAGAAUCACACUAGACCUCCACUAGUUUGCUCCAUAAGACUUUCAUAAUCAAGAUGUAACAGUGAAAGAACAUUUCCCAUUAUUUGGCAGGUAAUUACAGCAUGAAAUAAUAACAGUUAUGCUCCAAAUUACUAUAUUUUACAAUUAUAAUUUUUCAUUGUUCAAUAAAAGACUUUUUAAAAAACUUUUAACUUUUUUUAUUUGAAUAUUAAUGGAGUUUACCUAUACAAUAAUAUUACCCAACGCUGUGAUUAAAAAGUCAACAUAUAGCAAAAUAUAGCUUAAGACUAAAUAAUUAGCAGCAACUACACAAAUGUUUAAAACAUUCUUUCUGACUGUGACACAAUGGAAAAGAAAACACCAUUUGACAGUGACCGUGUCGCGUUCGCCUUUACGACUCGGCAGUCCUUUGUCAACUGGCAUUCUUAACAUAUUUGCUACCCACUAAUGUGUAAAUAAUCUGUGUGAAGCUGCCUUUUUCAGCUGUGGUACACACUGCUGCUGAUAAAAGGAUAGUUUCACACACGUUGAAUCCCAUAGUCUGUGUUGAAGAUCCCAACAUGUCCAAGAAUCCAAAGACCCUUAAUAAUCCCCGCUAUUCAUGAUAAGUAAUAGGAUUUUUGGUUCCAGGCCGAACUGUGAAAGUCAUACCAUGUUGAUAUUUAGACUUCGGUCCAUUGCUGAAAAGAAAAACACAUUAUGUAUGAAUAUAUUGGCCAACCAGUGAGUUUUGGCAUCUAAAAAAGUCAAUGUGGGACAUUUGAGCAUGACAGUCUUACCUGCUGAAAACUUUUGUUGACGAGUUAUCUGAAUAUUUUUUGUCCACUUUACGCUGCAGCUCCCUCAUGUCCAGAGUUGCUGCUUUCUGGUGAUAUUUGGUAGUUGGUGAUUUCAGCUGGUCAUUGGCCUCCCAUUCAUCAGAGGAAGGCUCUACGUCUUCCUUUUGGUGGGACAUUUUGGGGGCCAUUUCCUCCAGCUUCUUUUUUAGGAUGCACUGGAGAUCAAAAUGUCUUUGUUCCAGAGUGCGUGCUGGCUGAGUGGAGUCUGGCUUGGGUUUUGUCUGGACUUGUGCCUUUGGUUGGACAUUAGGAGGUUGGGGGUUCAGAGGAGGAGGUGGAAUUGAAACUGUAGGUGCUGUUUUUAGAGGAGGAGGUGGAACUGAAGAGGGAGGACUUGCAGAGGGCUGUGUCUUAUUCAAAGGAUACUGAACUGAGGCAGGAGAAAGAGAGGUUACAGGUGGUGAUGGUGCCUUUUUUGUGGGAGGGUCCGGUGGAAUGAUGGAAGGUGGCAGGUCCAUAAUUUUGUUUAAAUCAUCAAACUCUGGUGGUGGAGGCAGUAAUGGCAUGCUGAACCCAUCUUUAUUGCCCUCAGGUUUUGGAGUCUGAGACAGUGAGCUGCUUUGAUAUGCAUUUUGUCUCUCCUCUGCUUUUUUGCUAACAGUAGGGGUUUCUAUGAUCCUGCUGAGAGCUGGACUGGUAGAUGGUGCCUGACCAUUGACCAGUGCAUGACUGCUUGAAGUUUCAGGAGCAUCAUUUGUUUGUGGACGGUCUACUGGACUGAAGGAUUUUGGAGUCUCUGGUAAUAUUUUUUCUGUCAAUUUUACAGCUGAAGAGCCAGAACUUGGAAGGUCACUUGAGUGAAUACUUGGCUGCUCAUUGUUCUUUCCACUGUUUUCCCGUGAAAUAGAGUGCGUCGUUCUGUUUUUCUCUCUUUCUUUAGCUGCCUUUAGAAGAGCCAGUGGAGAAGCCGCAUGGCCGUCUCGUGCUCCGUGGGUUUCACUUCCUUUCAGGCUACGUAGUUUAUGAUCCAAUAUCGGACUGUAUUUCUGGUUUGGAUUUUGAUACCGCCCAGGUUUGACUGGGGUUGGACUUUGGUACUCUCCAGGUUUGACUGGGGUUGGACUUUGGUACUCUCCUGGUUUGACUGGGGCUGGACUUUGGUACUCUCCUGGUUUGACUGGGGUUGCACUCUGGUACUCUCCUGGUUUGACUGGGGCUGGACUUUGGUACUCUCCUGGUUUGACUGGGGCUGGACUUUGGUACUCUCUAGAAUUUUCUGCUUUUGGACUUUCUGCUUUUGGAAUUUGGUUCUCUCCAAGUUUGUCCUUGCUGGUCUCUAAAUUAAUCAGAGUAUUGUCAACUUCAUCAAGCUGUAGAGACUUCUGAAGCGGUGGCUGCACUGGGUUGGUUAUUUCUGGUUGCACUGAAAUUGUCUCUGUUUUAGCCUUUGUCUUAGUCUCUGUCUUAGUCACUGUCUUUUGCUCAAAUGGGGUAGAUUCAGAAGGUUGGGCAACUUGUAAAUUCUCCUCCAGCUCCUUUACAUUGGGAACUGGUUUAGAUAGUGUAGGCACUUUGGGAGCAUUGCCAUCCACCUGAACAAGAACAGGGCCAGAGCUGGAAGACCCAGAAUCUUCCAGGAGUAACAUGUGCUUAGGUUUUUUGUCACGGUCUUCAAGCACAUUGAAAAAUGAGGUUUUAGGAGCAGUGUAAACCUUUGCUGUGUUUUGGGGAUUGAAGGUGGACAAUGUGGGUGUCUGCACAGGGGGUGGUGGUGCAGGAGUCUGUGGGGGGGAGUCAGAGUUGGAGACUGAGGAAAUUCUAAUGGGCUUUGGAGGAGGUUUCUUCUGAGUCUUCUGUUGCCUUUCAGUAGGGGGCUGUGGGGCAGCAAAUUUUGGAUGCUCUGGAAUUUGAGCUGACGGCGGACUAGAGAUGGGUAUGGAUGAUGCAGAGCCAGUAGAAGUGGUAGACGGAGGCUUUGGUGGAGCCAUUGGUGGUGGUUUUAGGAACGAUAAAUCCUUUGGUUCUACUGAAGGAGGGUUUGGUGCGGGCAUGGAAGGAGGCUGUAGGGUUGCUGGAUCUAGAGUGUUUAAAUCACCCAGGAAGUCUGGUGGAGGUGGAAUAAAAUCACUUGGAGGUGGUGGAGGUGCUACAGAAGGAGGAGGAGGAACAAAUAUUUCUCCUUUAUCAAGGUUAGGCACUGAAGUAACGGAGCCAUUGGACAACAGAUCUCCACCAACUG
ensembl:lncRNA